CGGCUGUUAAGUUCGUUGACAACAGAACCUGUAGAUGUUUUGAAGAGGAGAUUUCAACAAGGGACCUGCCUGCUUGGUCAGACCAGGUUCUGUGGGGAGGAAAAAGAAAUGUUCUUAGUUGGGAUGAAUAACAAAACAUCAACCAGGAGACUGAAAGGCAGCUCCCUGAAUCUGUGAGAAUUGCUGACUUCAGAUACCCUUCAGAAGAAAUGGCUGUUAUUGCAUAAAUAUGUGUCCUGAGAACUGAAAAUCCCCCAGCUCCAUUUAGUGAAGUAUGGCAUUAAUGUAGGCCACCUGGAGAAUGAACACAGACCAGAAAGGCUGUCCUGGAGGAAGCUCGGAAGGGUGUGUUGGAGGUACACUCACCAUUGGAAUCCGGAGAGGGUACAAGCACACAGGGCUGUGGAAUUUUCAGCUAUGUCAUGUUGACAAACUGACUCAGCAGGAGGUUCCUACAAAGGAAAGAGACAGUCCAUCUUCCCUGAAGCCCCCACAAGGACAUGAUGGGAAAUAAGGAAACUUCUGUCUCCCUGACUUGCUGUAUUCCCCUGGGUACUGAUCAGUCUGCAUUCCUCAAGGCUAGUUGGGAACAUAUUUAUUUAAAAAAAAAAUACAUGAAGCCAAGCAUGUAGAAAGAAAAAUAUCUAAUCAAUUUCUUUGAUAAUCUUCAAAAGGCACAGUUAGUUUCCUUCUUACCUCAGUGUUUGCGGUCAUUGUUGGAAUUGUUUUGUUCUUUUGAAACAGGGUCUUACUCUGCAGCCUAGAACACCUCACAAUGACCAGGCUGAAACUCACAGAGAUCUGUCUGCCUCUGCUCUCCCCCACACAUAUUCCAGUGCUGGCAUUUAAAGCCACAUCACUGAGCCUGCGCUCCAUUUCAAUAGCACUUCAGCAAAGUAGGACUAGAGUUCUAUAAAUAAGAAUUCCCCACACUCAUUCAUUUCUAAAGCACUUACUGCCCUUCUUUGACUCUCUCACUACUUGCUAUGUCUGCUUCUGAAUUCUCCUAUAAUUCUAACAGUUGUACAGCUCUUGUUAUUGAGAAAUCACAAAUUGUGAAACAUAUUAAACAGGGCACAUUCAAAAAUA